rnacentral:rRNA from 1 species
CCUACGGGUGGCUGCAGUGGGGAAUAUUGCACUAUGGGCGCAAGCCUGAUGCAGCCAUGCCGCGUGUGUGAAGAAGGCCUUCGGGUUGUAAAGCACUUUCAGCGGGGAGGAUGGCGUUAAGGUUAAUAACCUUGUCGAUUGACGUUACCCGCAGAAGAAGCACCGGCUAACUCCGUGCCAGCAGCCGCGGUAAUACGGAGGGUGCAAGCGUUAAUCGGAAUUACUGGGCGUAAAGCGCACGCAGGCGGUCUGUCAAGUCGGAUGUGAAAUCCCCGGGCUCAACCUGGGAACUGCAUUCGAAACUGGCAGGCUAGAGUCUUGUAGAGGGGGGUAGAAUUCCAGGUGUAGCGGUGAAAUGCGUAGAGAUCUGGAGGAGUACCGGUGGCGAAGGCGGCCCCCUGGACAAAGACUGACGCUCAGGUGCGGUAGCGUGGGGAGCAAACAGGUUUAGAUACCCGAGUAGUC